rnacentral:rRNA from 1 species
GACGAACGCUGGCGGCGUGCCUAACACAUGCAAGUCGUACGGGACCGGGGGCAACUCCGGUUCAGUGGCAGACGGGUGCGUAACACGUGAGGAACCCUGUCCGGUGGCGGGGGAUAGCCGGCCCAACGGCCGGGUAAUACCGCAUACGCUCGUUCGGGGGCAUCCCUGGGCGAGGAAAGCAGCCGCAAGGUUGCGCCGACGGAGGGCCUCGCGACCUAUCAGCUUGUUGGCGGGGUAACGGCCCACCAAGGCGACGACGGGUAGCUGGUCUGAGAGGAUGAUCAGCCACAUUGGGACUGAGACACGGCCCAGACUCCUACGGGAGGCAGCAGUGGGGAAUAUUGGGC